rnacentral:lncRNA from 1 species
GGGCAGUAACCUAACAACGGGUUGUCCGAUUCAUCUGAAAAUUUCAGGGCAGAUAGAACUUGACCUGAUAAACACUUUUACUCCCAUGUCAGAUUUGCCCUAAAUGCUUUGGUUUUUGAGUUAUAAGCCAAAAACUGCAUUUUACCCCUAUGUUCUAUUUUUAGCCGUGGUGGCCAUCUUGGUUGGUAUGCCGGGUCACCGGACACAAUUUUUAAACUAUAUACCCCAAUGAUGAUUGUGGCCAAGUUUGAUUAAGUUUGUUCUAGCAGUUUCGGAGGAGAAGAUUUUUCUAAAAGAUUACUAAGAUUUACGAAAAAUUGUUAAAAAUUGACUAUAAAGGGCAAUAACUCCUUAGGGGGUCAAUUGACCAUUUUGGGAAUG